CCUCUUGAGGUCCAGGUCUCUCCUGUGUGGUGGCUCACUGAGACAGCAGCACCGAGCAUAUUUGAAUGACUGUUGUGCUUGGUUCACUUCUCCUUUUGGUGGAGGUGACUGGGCAGUAGUGUCCUUGCUCUGUCCUAGUGGCCAGCAGCUGUGUGGAGGUAAAGACAUUGUAGAGGAGGGGUCUGGGCUAGGAAGGGCAUGCCCUAACCCUCCUCAUGUAUUGGCUUCUUUCUCAGCUCAGGGGCUAAACUGCUACAAUUGCACGAUGAUCCCAUUUGGUAAUACCUGCUCAUCAACUGCUACCUGCCCCUACCCUGAUGGAGUCUGCACUAUUCAGGUGGCAGAAGUUGUUGUGAGUAAGUUCCCCGUAUCCUGUAUUUAUAUGGGUGGGGGUGGCUUGGAAGAAAAAGUCUGGGUACAAGUUCUGGAGCAUGGUUCCCCUCCUUCCAGGUAGAUACCUUCCGAUUCCCUCUCCCCAGCAUGGAGAUUAUAACCAGCACCCCGUGCUCGGCUAGCUAUUUAUAUGGUUGCUGGGAAUUGAACUUGGGUCCUUAAUGCUUCCAUGUGGCAAGCACUUCACUGACUGAGCUGCUUCCACAGCACGUUGCAUGUAAAGACACAUGUGCACACACAUGUGGAUGUGCAGGCACUGGGGAGGUACAAGUGUAAGAGACCCAGAAGUUGAUGGGAAUCUCCUGUGACAACUAUUUUAUUUACUGAGGCAGGGUCUCAC
rnacentral:lncRNA from 1 species